rnacentral:rRNA from 1 species
AGGGAAUCUUCCACAAUGGACGCAAGUCUGAUGGAGCAACGCCGCGUGAGUGAAGAAGGUCUUCGGAUCGUAAAGCUCUGUUGUUGGUGAAGAAGGAUAGAGGCAGUAACUGGUCUUUAUUUGACGGUAAUCAACCAGAAAGUCACGGCUAACUACGUGCCAGCAGCCGCGGUAAUACGUAGGUGGCAAGCGUUGUCCGGAUUUAUUGGGCGUAAAGCGAGCGCAGGCGGAAUGAUAAGUCUGAUGUGAAAGCCCACGGCUCAACCGUGGAACUGCAUCGGAAACUGUCAUUCUUGAGUGCAGAAGAGGAGAGUGGAACUCCAUGUGUAGCGGUGGAAUGCGUAGAUAUAUGGAAGAACACCAGUGGCGAAGGCGGCUCUCUGGUCUGCAACUGACGCUGAGGCUCGAAAGCAUGGGUAGCGAACAGGAUUAGAUACCCUGGUAGUCCAUGCCGUAAACGAUGAGCGCU